UGAGUGCACCGAGGCUUUCAGCCUGCGGGACAGUGGUGCGAUUUGCAUUAGAGAAAGGGAGAUGCCAUGUGCUGGCCCAGCACUCCAACAGGGGCCUGACCUCUAGGAACGGGACACUGGAGGAAGCCUAGACAUCUGAACAAAUCAAGUCAUCCAGAUCCACGGUCAGCUCCUGCCCCGACUUGGCCUUCCUCCUGCUGGGCUGGCCCACGGACCUCGGGAACCUGCCCUGGCUGUGGGUGACCUGCAGCCUAUCUCCCAGGACUAUGGAAGCCCCAUGCAGGAACAUGGUUCUGACACUUUGGGGAUUAUACCCUAAGCUUAAAGGACUGGAAAAGCCCCUGAAGUCCCGAGACCACAACCCUCCACCUUCUAAAGAUAAGACAAGUCACUGAAGGUCUCAGAACUGUGGCCCAUUCACCCCUUCCCUCAAGACAAGAGUGUGGCCAAGCAUCAAUCUCACCCCCAGAGACCAGACGGUGUCCAGGUCUUGGGCAGACGAAACCUGCUCCUUGGGGAUGGUCUUCCUGGCUGUGCUUCCAAAGGGCUGGCCUGCAAUCAGCUGGUUUUCACUUGAUCCUUUCGGGGUUUGCAUUAUAUCUGACUGAAGGAAUGAACUGGGAGAGAACAGCAGAGCCGCAGCGGAAUGUGGAAAGGCCCACGUCCAGACUGUUCCCAUUCUGAUUUAAAAGCCUGAUGAAGGAACAGCUGAACUCAGAGAAACAGCAGGUGAAAUGAACAUGGAAGCUAUAAAUUGAGGUGUCAGAACCACAAGAUGGAAGUACGUUGGAUUUCUGAGUCACCACCUGGAGGAGAGCUUCCCUGCAGCAUUGCUGGAAUCUGAUGUGAACUAGAUAUUCAUCUUGAUCGUGUUGACUUGAACCUAAUUCAGGCCUAAGACAUAAUAUAUACUGCAUAAUAUAUGCCGUAUAAUGAUAAUAUAUUUAUGCAGCCUUUAUUGAUAUGAGUAGUGGUUUAUCUCAGUUUUAUAAUAAAAAUCUCUCAAAGAACAUUGACUCCAAGGAAUAACAAUCACAAAAGGAUUACAGCUUUGUUUAACACUUUCUGCAAAUCCUUGAAGCUGAUCUUUCCUGUUGUUUCUAAUCCCAAUAGCCAGCCUAAACCUUUUGGUGUAAUCUCAUGUAUUCUGACCUCUGUUAUUUCCUGCUGCUUAAUGAUCUUUCUAUAAAUUGUAUGGGAAAUGAAGCAAAUGUAAUUACAGUGUCUGCCAGCCCUGAUGCAGAUAAAUAGGUGGGAGUCUGGCCAAGUGUCUCCCCAAGCUAGCCUUUGGUGUCUUUCACUCACAGCAGAAAGAAAUAGGUCAUAAAUUACAGCACUGAUUUGUUCCAAUGAUAUCAUUAGCUCCUGGAAAACAAGGAUCAUGAAAAACCCAUUUCAAAUGAACAUAUGAGUCAAUACCAACCAAGCAUCUUUUGGAAAAGAGCCCUUAUAAAUUCAUACUAGAAUUCUGACUCCUAAGUGAAUAUCUCUGGAUCUUCAGAACAUAGAAGACUUAGCUCCAGCCCAUGCAUCAGUCCCUUCAGACCAUAGAGUCAUAACCAGGCCUAUUGAAAGAGCUGGUUACAUGAGACAGUCAGAGAUUUACCUAGGUGAGAAAAUAAAGAUUAGAUGGUUUGAAGCAGAGUUCUAGCCCUUCCAAAUCAGACCUCCAACCCCUUUCUUAAUUCUAUAGUUUGUAGUUUUCAAAGGAGAAGUUGUAAUAAAGAGUAAGUAAACUAA
rnacentral:lncRNA from 1 species